rnacentral:rRNA from 1 species
AAUAGAUACCCUGGUAGUCCACGCCCUAAACGAUGCGUACUCGGUGUAGGUGCUUCAUUGCAUCUGUGCCGAAGUUAACACGAUAAGUACGCCGCCUGGGGAGUACGGUCGCAAGGCUGAAACUCGAAAGGAAUUGACGGGGGCCCGCACAAGCGGUGGAGCAUGUGGUUUAAUUCGACGCAACGCGAAGAACCUUACCUGGGCUUGAACUGUUUGGGCUAUUUCCAGAAACGGAGAGUUCCCUUCGGGGUACCCAAGCAGAGGUGCUGCAUGGCUGUCGUCAGCUCGUGUCGUGAGAUGUUGGGUUAAGUCCCGCAACGAGCGCAACCCUCGUCCUGUGUUGCCAUUUUGGGACUCACAGGAGACCGCCAGCGAUAAGUUGGAGGAAGGUGGGGACGACGUCAAGUCAUCAUGGCCUUUAUGUCCAGGGCUACACACGUGCUACAAUGGGCGGUACAACGGGUCGCGAAGCCGCGAGGCGGAGCUAAUCCCUAAAACCGGUCCUCAGUUCGGAUUGCAGGCUGCAACUCG